AAUAGGAUGGAUUGCAGCUGGGAAGACAGUGUCGGUGUGGGCCCUUAAGAGAGGUCGGAGGAGAGUGAGGAGGGUGUGGAGUCAGCCAACUGGGUGUCCACCACGUGUUCGCCGAGUGCUGGCUGCUGCUGCACGUUUGUCAUGGAGCGCCUUGGGUGACCUCACAGCAGCCCUCUGAGGAGGAAUGAGGGGCAGUCCAGCACUUCCAGGAAGGUCACACCACGAAAUCCCCCACGGCACACCAGUUUUGUCUUCAGACCCCGUGUGAUCCAGGACACCGGCUCAG